rnacentral:tRNA from 1 species
GCCUUCUUGGUGUAAUGAUCAGCACACUCGGCCCGUACUGGAAAGGUCCGAGGUUCGAGUCCCGGAAAGGGCA